rnacentral:rRNA from 1 species
ACUCAAAGGAAUUGACGGGGGCUCACACAAGCGGUGGAGCAUGUGGCUUAAUUCGAGGCUACGCGAAGAACCUUAUCCUGGGCUUGACAUGUGCGAAAGCGCUAGGGAGUAGGGAGCGGAAACGUUUCCCCAACGGUAUCCAGUCCGGAACCUAGUACAGGUGCUGCAUGGCUGUCGUCAGCUCGUGUCGUGAGAUGUCGGGUUAAGUCCCAUAACGAGCGAAACCCUUGUCUCCAGUUGCCAGCGGGUCAUGCCGGGGACUCUGGAGAGACUGCCGGUGUCAAACCGGAGGAAGGCGGGGAUGACGUCAAGUCCUCAUGGCCUUUAUGCCCAGGGCUGCACACGUGCUACAAUGGCGUGAACAGAGGGACGCGAGAGCGCAAGCUGGAGCUAAUCCCCUAAAACACGCCCCAGUUCAGAUCGCAGGCUGCAACUCGCCUGCGUGAAGUUGGAAUCGCUAGUAAUCGCGGGUCAGCAACACCGCGGUGAAUGUGUUCCUGAGCCUUGCACACACCGCCCGU